AAGCAGGGCACGUGGGUUUGGCAUUUCACCUCGAAGGGCGCUUGGCUGUUUCUGUUGUGAACAAAAGAGCUGUGUUUACGACCAGAUAAAACUCUUCGUCAUGCUGGCUUCUCAAGCUGAUAACCAGAGGGUCCUACUGCGGCAAAUAGUUCAGGAACCGUUUUCGUGUAAUAUCUGCAAAAACCUCAGCAUGUUAAGACUUGGAUCAAUGUUGCUGAUUUUUGGCAUCACGUUGGUGGUUUUGCAUUGGAACCAUGCCUCCCUCGGUAUUGGAGCGGUCAUGGUGGUUCUUGGGGUUCUUGUGUCCACCAUUAGUGGGGGGCUAAUCUUCUAUGACAUGUGCUGGAAGUCAGAGGGAUUCCCUACUCCCCACCGGAAGGCAAUUUCAAAGCACAAAGUUGGCUGGAAUCCAGUUCCCAAUGAAGCGCCAGAGGCACCAGAGGCCAAUGACUCACAGUAAACGUUAAGCCUGGGUAUCUUUGAGCCUUUGGAAUGGGCUUUUUAAAACUUCCCCGAGCAUUUUAAAAAUAGAAAUAAAAGUUGGCUUUUAAAAGGC